rnacentral:rRNA from 1 species
AACGAACGCUGGCGGCGCGCCUAAUACAUGCAAGUCGAGCGAGAAGACGUAGCAAUACGUUUGUAAAGCGGCGAACGGGUGAGGAAUACAUGGGUAACCUACCCUCGAGUGGGGAAUAACUAGCCGAAAGGUUAGCUAAUACCGCGUACGCUCCUUGGACUUCGGUUCAGGGAGGAAAGCGAUACCGUGGGUAUCGCGCUCUUGGAUGGGCUCAUGUCCUAUCAGCUUGUUGGUGAGGAACGGCUCACCAAGGCUUCGACGGGUAGCUGGUCUGAGAGGACGAUCAGCCACACUGGCACUGCGACACGGGCCAGACUCCUACGGGAGCAGCAGUAAGGAAUAUUGGUCAAUGGACGCAAGUCUGAACCAGCCAUGCCGCGUGGAGGAUGAAGGUCUCUGGAUUGUAAACUUCUUUUAUCUGGGACGAAAAGGGUCUUUCUAGAUCAACUGACGGUACCA